rnacentral:rRNA from 1 species
UACAGAGGGUGCAAGCGUUAAUCGGAGUUACUGGGCGUAAAGGGCGCGUAGGUGGUUAUGUAAGUGAGACGUGAAAGCCCCGGGCUUAACCUGGGAAUGUCGUCUUAAACUGCAUAGCUUGAGUACUGUAGAGGGUAGUGGAAUUUCCGGUGUAGCGGUGAAAUGCGUAGAGAUCGGAAGGAACACCAGUGGCGAAGGCGGCUACCUGGACAGAUACUGACACUGAGGCGCGAAAGCGUGGGGAGCAAACAGGAUUAGAUACCCUGGUAGUCCACGCUGUAAACGAUGAGAACUAGAUGUUGGCCAGCUUGACUGGUUAGUAUCGAAGCUAACGCGAUAAGUUCUCCGCCUGGGGAGUACGGCCGCAAGGUUAAA